UACGGAGGGUGCAAGCGUUAAUCGGAAUUACUGGGCGUAAAGCGUGCGCAGGCGGUUUGUUAAGUCUGCUGUGAAAUCCCCGAGCUCAACUUGGGAAUUGCAGUGGAUACUGGCAAGCUGGAGUACGGUAGAGGAAGGUGGAAUUCCCGGUGUAGCAGUGAAAUGCGUAGAGAUCGGGAGGAACACCAGUGGCGAGGGCGGCCUUCUGGACCAGUACUGACGCUCAUGCACGAAAGCGUGGGGAGCAAACAGG
rnacentral:rRNA from 1 species